AUGAACGCUAGCUACAGGCUUAACACAUGCAAGUCGAGGGGCAGCAUCAUCAAAGCUUGCUUUGAUGGAUGGCGACCGGCGCACGGGUGAGUAACACGUAUCCAACCUGCCGACAACACUGGGAUAGCCUUUCGAAAGAAAGAUUAAUACCGGAUGGCAUAAUUAUUCCGCAUGGGAUAAUUAUUAAAGAAUUUCGGUUGUCGAUGGGGAUGCGUUCCAUUAGGCAGUUGGCGGGGUAACGGCCCACCAAACCUACGAUGGAUAGGGGUUCUGAGAGGAAGGUCCCCCACAUUGGAACUGAGACACGGUCCAAACUCCUACGGGAGGCAGCAGUGAGGAAUAUUGGUCAAUGGACGAGAGUCUGAACCAGCCAAGUAGCGUGAAGGAUGACUGCCCUAUGGGUUGUAAACUUCUUUUAUACGGGAAUAAAGUGAGCCACGUGUGGCUUUUUGUAUGUACCGUAUGAAUAAGGAUCGGCUAACUCCGUGCCAGCAGCCGCGGUAAUACGGAGGAUUCGAGCGUUAUCCGGAUUUAUUGGGUUUAAAGGGAGCGUAGGCGGGUUGUUAAGUCAGUUGUGAAAGUUUGCGGCUCAACCGUAAAAUUGCAGUUGAUACUGGCGACCUUGAGUGCAACAGAGGUAGGCGGAAUUCGUGGUGUAGCGGUGAAAUGCUUAGAUAUCACGAAGAACUCCGAUUGCGAAGGCAGCUUACUGGAUUGUAACUGACGCUGAUGCUCGAAAGUGUGGGUAUCAAACAGGAUUAGAUACCCUGGUAGUCCACACAGUAAACGAUGAAUACUCGCUGUUGGCGAUAUACAGUCAGCGGCCAAGCGAAAGCAUUAAGUAUUCCACCUGGGGAGUACGCCGGCAACGGUGAAACUCAAAGGAAUUGACGGGGGCCCGCACAAGCGGAGGAACAUGUGGUUUAAUUCGAUGAUACGCGAGGAACCUUACCCGGGCUUAAAUUGCAACUGACGGAACCGGAAACGGUUCUUUCUUCGGACAGUUGUGAAGGUGCUGCAUGGUUGUCGUCAGCUCGUGCCGUGAGGUGUCGGCUUAAGUGCCAUAACGAGCGCAACCCUUACGGGUAGUUACCAUCAGGUUAUGCUGGGGACUCUACCCGGACUGCCGUCGUAAGAUGUGAGGAAGGUGGGGAUGACGUCAAAUCAGCACGGCCCUUACGUCCGGGGCUACACACGUGUUACAAUGGGGGGUACAGAAGGCAGCUACACGGCGACGUGGUGCUAAUCCCAAAAGCCUCUCUCAGUUCGGAUUGGAGUCUGCAACCCGACUCCAUGAAGCUGGAUUCGCUAGUAAUCGCGCAUCAGCCACGGCGCGGUGAAUACGUUCCCGGGCCUUGUACACACCGCCCGUCAAGCCAUGAAAGCCGGGGGUACCUGAAGUACGUAACCGCGAGGGGCGUCCUAGGGUAAAACUGGUGAUUGGGGCU
rnacentral:rRNA from 1 species